rnacentral:rRNA from 1 species
CCUACGGGAGGCAGCAGUGGGGGAUAUUGCACAAUGGGGGAAACCCUGAUGCAGCGACGCCGCGUGAGUGAAGAAGUAUUUCGGUAUGUAAAGCUCUAUCAGCAGGGAAGAAAAUGACAGUACCUGACCAAGAAGCCCCGGCUAACUACGUGCCAGCAGCCGCGGUAAUACGUAGGGGGCAAGCGUUAUCCGGAUUUACUGGGUGUAAAGGGAGCGUAGACGGUUAUGUAAGUCUGCAGUGAAAGUCUGGGGCCCAACCCCAGGACUGCUUUUGAAACUGGGUGACUGGAGUAUAGGAGGGGCAGGCGGAAUGCGUGGGGUAGCGGUGAAAUGCAUAGAUAUCACGAAGAACUCCGACGGCGAAGGCAGCUUGCUAAACUGAAACUGACGUUGAGGCUCGAAAGCGUGGGGAGCAAACAGGAUUAGAUACCCGUGUAGUC